GACGAACCGUGCGAACGUUAUUCGGAAUCACUGGGCUUAAAGGGCGCGUAGGCGGGCAGGCGAGUCCGGGGUGAAAUCCCACGGCCCAACCGUGGAAGUGCCUCGGAUACCGCCUGCCUCGAGGGAGGUAGGGGCGUGUGGAACUUCCGGUGGAGCGGUGAAAUGCGUAGAGAUCGGAAGGAACGCCGGUGGCGAAAGCGACACGCUGGACCUCUGCUGACGUUGAGGCGCGAAAGCCAGGGGAGCGAACGGG
rnacentral:rRNA from 1 species